UACGAAGGGGGCUAGCGUUGCUCGGAAUUACUGGGCGUAAAGCGCACGUAGGCGGAUUGUUAAGUCGGGGGUGAAAUCCUGGAGCUCAACUCCAGAACUGCCUUCGAUACUGGCGAUCUCGAGUUCGGGAGAGGUGAGUGGAACUGCGAGUGUAGAGGUGAAAUUCGUAGAUAUUCGCAAGAACACCAGUGGCGAAGGCGGCUCACUGGCCCGGUACUGACGCUGAGGUGCGAAAGCCAGGGGAGCAAACGGG
rnacentral:rRNA from 1 species